rnacentral:lncRNA from 1 species
GGACAAAUAAAACAAAAAAAAUGUAUAUAACACAAAAAUGUGCAUAGACAAAAGACUAGACUGAAGCAGGUCAGCAUUUCAAUAGUGUUUAUUUCUGUAUGCUAGGAGUGAGGGUCAUUUUAUUCUUUUCAUCAGAAAAAGUGUUGUUUAUUAAAAAGAUAACACAUAAGAUCCUCCCUCUACUUCAAAUUUCCCCCCAGUAAAGGCUUAGUGGGUGACUGUCACCUGAGCAUAGGCACGUUAUGAAAGUCCAUUAUUAUAAAGGCUUGUGUGAAUUAGGCAGAGAGAUUUACUUUGAUCUCUUUGAAUUACUAUAUAUGCCUAGAAAACAUUCUAAAAUAAGGGAGCAUUGCAGACCAAAAUAGUCCUGUUUUUGUUGAUAGUGGUGAGAUUAAGCAAUCAGACAUUUCCCUGACAUCUAUUUCCUUGAUGAACAAAUACUGAAAAAGAAGGGACAAGCGCAUUUAAACACACACACAUUCCCUUUACCUGGUGGAAAAGCAAUUGUGUUUGCGGAGGCCUCUCAAGUCAUUGCUCAAUGACUCUCUUGCAGGUUAUAAAUGUCAACCAAUUUGAAGGGAUGGUAAAGAGGAAAGAAAACUGGAACAAAUUUCAGAGAAAAGGCAGAGCUGAUGAGAACACAAUUCUUAUCAAGGGAGUUUUCAAAUAUCAAGUUUCCGUCACAUUGAGAGGGAUAGCUGUGACUCUGUGGGAGGGUCCAUCUCAGAUGGCAUUUCCCGUGUCACACCUUUCAUCUGAGCAUCUUAGGAUAUUUUAUAAACACAAGACCUCAAUAACAUCUGCAUUAUUUUCUUUGUUUUAUAAAUGGACUAAUCAGUCAUCAAAGAGCUUGUAAAGUUGACAGAGGUCACCUACGAGGACAUUAAUUCCACAUCAACACCUCUCCCCAUGAUGGCCCUCAAUUCAGAUGUGAGAACUACACAGCUUCUACUCUAGCACAUUCUGUAACAUUAAACCCAUGUCCUUAACUUUUUAAAAAUAAUUUUUUAAGGAGACAUCUCUAGGAAAAAAUGCACAGGUGCAGAUAAAUAUCAUCUAUCUAUAGACGUGGACACGAAGAUAUAAAUAGAAAGGGUUCAUUAGCUGUAAAGUAGCAGUAAACUGAUAACAGGCAGAGAAGCUGGAGCCUGGCUCCUGACAAUGAUGUCUGCCUUUGUUUACAUAGCUAAGAACAGAGUGGGGAAGUCUGCAGGCAAUAAACAGAAAGGGAGAAUGUUUAGGGUUUCUUUUGCUAACUCCUUUGUCAAUUGUGAUCUUUCUGACGUCUCUUAACCACUCUUCAGAGGUUCCCAAACUUUCUUGGCUCGUGGUUCCCUGAGGUCUCAGCAAAUUUGUCGCCGUGCCCCUAGGGUAAAUCUAAUAGUUUCGUUUAUUAAGUACUAGUGAGGUCCGAACAACUUAAUAAUAGUAGUUGGCGUGAUGUCCGAGAGAUGGCGCUGUGCUGUCCCUCGACCAUGUAAACCGUCCUGCGGGGCUCCUACGAGCUCGCUGCAAGGGGCGCCCAGGGCACCUGGGUUCCUUUGAGGACCAGGGCUCCAGAUCAUCCGUGAACAAGGUGAAGUGAGCUGCAGAACUGGCCUUGAAGGAAUUCGAAAACAGGCGAAAGGGACUCCAUGAAGACCCUGAAACGACACCCGGAAGAACUCGGCAGCCCUCCGACCUGACCAUGAGCUUUGAUGACAAAUCUGUGUGCUUGCCAAGUAGAGGAGAGCUGCUGGAUGCCUCGAGAUGCCCCGGACAGAGGAAAUGGUGGCUCUAAAGGAAUCUGCAGAUGAGAAGUCACACGAGGAGGAUGCAUUAAAUUGCAGGCUGAUCGGCUGUAGAACGUCUCUCACAAGGGCAUCUCCAUGAAGCAUGUAUCCUGGAGACGAGCAGCAAGGAUUUUUUUUUUUUUCUUUAACCAGCAGUUAGUGAUUCUCCUAAGCCACACCAAGAAUGCCAGAGGCUCUAAUCAGGCUCUGGUGAGAACGAAACCCUGUUCACAGUUAAUACCAUUCCUCUUUUUAAGAACUAUGGAGUGCCUGCUAAGUGCCAGGCACUGUCUACGUUUAGUGGAAGAUCAAGGCCCGAGGGAGGGGGAGCAGGGGAGGACGACUCUUGGCCUCUCAGAGCUGGGCCUGGUGGCUAAGAACAACAGGAGGUUCCAUUUUAUAACUCGGAGGAAACAGAGGAGGUGUCCUGGCGAUUCACUUUCCUCUCUGACCUCAAUUUACUCUUUUUAAAUGAGAGGGUUGGACUGUGUGAUCUCUAAGCCCCGCUGUUCUGAUUCUAGCACCAUGUGAAGUUCACUUCAAAGUCAGCGAAAGUCGCAGCAACAUAAAUAGACCUCAGGAUAUAAACACUGUGUUAUCCAAAGGGAAAACGAAGAUGACAGACUACAUGUUUUAAAAUAAACUCACUGUGGUUUUUAAUUCUCAAUUCCAUCCUUGAGUUUUAUGAGUAUUGAUUUCCUAAGAAAAGAAAGCCUACAACUGCUACCUUCCUUAAGUACCUUUCUAGUCAUUUUAAAUAACGUCAUUAACAAUUUUCAGGCCUAAUAUAUAUAGCUUUCCAUUUAAAUAUCCUUCCUACCCUCACCAAAAGGACCUUUCUUAUGUAACAAAAACGAAAGUUUUAAUUUUGGACACAAAAAAAUACAGGCUUGACAUUUACUGAGCAUUUAUAAAAAAACAAUACUUUGUGCCUUGCCUAAAAAAAUUCCUGUUAUGUACUUCAAACAUUGACAGGAAGUGUCAUU